rnacentral:lncRNA from 1 species
CCUUGAUCAGAACAUGGUCUUGGCUCCAUUUCUCUCUCAUCUGCCUAGUUUCCCUUUCUUUAAGUGCCAGCCUGCCACUCAGGUGUACCCAGUCCAUGUGAGCCUCUGGACGCCUUGCAAGAUUGCUGGGUGACAUUAGCCAAGGCACAUGCCAUGUUUGGCCCUGAGGGACUGUUUCUGUCCAAUAUCUAAAACACCUUCUAAGCAACAGCACCUUUCUUCUUGAGGUGAGGUGGGAGCAAAGACAAUGUCUGGCCAAUCUCAGAGUCUCCAGUGCUCACCCAGGACAGAUGCUCAGUGGGUGUUUCCUGAACAUCAUCAGAUGGUCUGGGGCUCAGUCUACAGGUUCUGUGGCUUUAAGCAGGAGGGCCAGUGGCCUUGCUGUGUUUGGAGCCAACUGAGUUGGGAAAGGCUGGCAUGGACUAUUCUGACUAAAUUCUCGGC